UUUAACCUAAACGACGUUAGCCCUACCUCUCAAACGUCCUUACGGCUCCGAAGCCGAUCCAGUUGUGAAUAGUUGUAUCUAAAAAACA
rnacentral:sRNA from 2 species